rnacentral:tRNA from 1 species
AAAAUCCGUUGAUCUUUUCGAUCGUGAGGGUUCAAGUCC